rnacentral:rRNA from 1 species
UACGGGUAGGGCAAGCGUUGUCCGGAAUCAUUGGGCGUAAAGAGCGCGUAGGCGGCCCAGUAAGUCCGCUCUGAAAGUCAGGGGCUCAACCCCUGGAUGCGGGUGGAUACUGCUGGGCUAGAGUCCGGAAGAGGCGAGUGGAAUUCCUGGUGUAGCAGUGAAAUGCGUAGAUAUCAGGAGGAAUACCGAUGGCGAAGGCAGGUCUCUGGGCUGAUACUGACGCUCAUGCACGAAAGGCGUGGGGAGCAAACAGG